UAUCUUCUCUGAAAGUGCUUUCCCAGGUGUCUGUGAAAUGACAGUUUUUUUCGUUGCUUACACUAGCCCAACCUACCUGUGAGGGAAAUCAGUUUCAGUGUCAGACUGAUGGUGAAUGUAUUCCACGGUCAUGGGUUUGUGAUGAUGAGGAAGACUGUGAAGAUGGCUCAGAUGAGCAUCAACAAUGUCCGGGAAGGACGUGCUCAAGUGAGCAGUUCACGUGUUCAAAUGGACAGUGUGUCCCGAGCACAUACUGGUGCGAUCGAGUAGAGGACUGCAUUGAUGGAACAGAUGAAAGAGCCUGCCACUACCCAAGAUGCGAACAGUUAUCAUGUGCAAAUGGAGCAUGUUUUAAUGCAAGCCAGCGAUGUGAUGGCAAAGUUGAUUGCAGAGAUUCUUCUGAUGAAGCUAAUUGCACCCAUGGCUGUACCAGCACGCAGUUUCAGUGUGCUAAUGGAGAAUGCAUCCCUCGAGCCUUCAUCUGUGACCAUGAUGAUGACUGUGGAGACAGGAGUGAUGAAAACUCUUGCACUUAUGCAACUUGCAGAGGCAACUUCUUCACUUGCCCAAGUGGCCGCUGCAUUCAUCAGAGCUGGAUAUGCGAUGGAGAUGAUGACUGUGAAGAUAAUGAAGAUGAAAGAGGAUGUGAAAGUGGUCGCCAUGAGUGCUACCCAGGAGAGUGGGCCUGCCCUGGGUCAGGGCAUUGCAUUCCAAUUGGAAAAGUGUGUGAUGGGACUGCAGACUGCCCAGAAGGAGAAGAUGAAACUAACAUCACCGCAGGCAGACAUUGCAGUAUGUGUUAGAAUCAAAAACAUACACAGAAUAGCAGAAACACCAGCAUUGAUAUCUUUUUAUAUUCACCUUUUGUCUCCUAAAGAAUACUGAAAUUUUGGAAGCUUGCUAUUUUCAUUGACACUGUUCUGACUGGAUGAUCUGAAAGAGGCAUAUAUGCUGCAAAAAACCCUAUUCCUUUU
rnacentral:lncRNA from 1 species